rnacentral:rRNA from 1 species
UGGGGAAUUGUUCGCAAUGGGCGCAAGCCUGACGACGCAACGCCGCGUGGAGGAUGAAGAUCUUCGGGUCGUAAACUCCUGUCGAGCGGGACGAACACCUAUCCGGCGAAUAUCCGGACAGGCUGAUGGUACCGCUAAAGGAAGCCCCGGCAAACUUCGUGCCAGCAGCCGCGGUAAUACGAAGGGGGCUAGCGUUGUUCGGAAUUACUGGGCGUAAAGCGCGCGUAGGCGGUGAUCUUUGUCAGAGGUGAAAGCCCGGGGCUCAACUCCGGAAUUGCCUUUGAAACGGGAUUGCUUGAGUCCGAGAGAGGAUGGCGGAAUUCCUAGUGUAGAGGUGAAAUUCGUAGAUAUUAGGAAGAACACCGGUGGCGAAGGCGGCCAUCUGGCUCGGUACUGACGCUCAGGCGCGAAAGCGUGGGGAGCAAA